rnacentral:rRNA from 1 species
AACGAACGCUGGCGGCAUGCUUUACACAUGCAAGUCGAACGGUAACAGGGUGCUUGCACCGCUGACGAGUGGCGAACGGGUGAGUAAUGCGUCGGAACGUGCCGAGUAGUGGGGGAUAACGCAGCGAAAGUUGUGCUAAUACCGCAUACGUACUGAGGUAGAAAGUGGGGGACCUUCGGGCCUCACGCUAUUCGAGCGGCCGACGUCUGAUUAGCUAGUAGGUGAGGUAAAGGCUCACCUAGGCGACGAUCAGUAGCGGGUCUGAGAGGAUGGGCCGCCACGCUGGGACUGAGACACGGCCCAGACUCCUACGGGAGGCAGCAGUGGGGAAUUUUGGACAAUGGGCGAAAGCCUGAUCCAGCCAUGCCGCGUGUCUGAAGAAGGCCUUCGGGUUGUAAAGGACUUUUGUCAGGGAGGAAAUCCCUAGCGUUAAUACCGCUGGGGGAUGACAGUACCUGAAGAAUAAGCACCGGCUAACUACGUGCCAGCCGCCGCCGUAACAC